rnacentral:lncRNA from 1 species
UAACGGGCGGGAAAGGACAAGAAAGGCAGAGAGGUCGGCCCUGGCCACGAUGGAGUCUGUCUAAGGUAGCCCGGACAGAGCUGCGCUCAGCCUUGCAUGGGAGAAGGGCCAGGACAGGCACGGGCGUGCUGGACAGUUCCCGGUUUCUAGUUCUCUGUAUCCGGCGACCAAUGCCCUAGGCCGCGACCCCGCAGCCAGGCCUACUUCCCUGCUGGGACUGCGCAUUUCCAGAAUGCUUGCCUGUUUUUCCACCAGAUAUUUAAACGCAGCUGGGACUGCAGUGAGCUUCACUUGUCAUGAAGGAGAGUGGGCAGCUGCUUUUUGGGGAAGAACUCCUCAGCUGUACAGCCCAAAGGCAGCAAUGAGAAACAGGAAGGAUGCACUGGCCCUUGCUGUCUAACACGUGUCACUGAUGUGAAGUUUACCCAUCGAGAAAGAAGUAUCACUACCAGACAUGAAGAGGAGCCAGCAAGAUACUCUUAAGGAAAUUCUAUUACUUCUGCUAGGCUCAGACCCAAGCAGAAAGGCAAUGCCAUCAGUUCUUUAGCUGGUGUGAUCAAAGCAAAAAGGGAACUCCACAUCUCCAAGAUCUUCUGGAACAGAACGACUGUAAAUAUUUUGGAAUCAACUCUAAAUUUUAGCCAAAAUAAUGCCCACAUGAAAAUUAAAACAAAGUAAAUGAAUGAUACCCUUUUUCUUUCCAACAAUGAGAAGAAAUUUUUAUUCCCAGCAAAGAAGAGAAACUAAGGUCCCUGUGGCAGCAUCUACCAAAAACACUGCAAUUGAUCAACACUAUUCUCCGAAAGCCA